rnacentral:rRNA from 1 species
UGCUAAGCGUAUACGGGCGCACGACGGAUGCCUUGGCAUCAGGAGGCGAUGAAGGACGCGGAAGACUGCGAUAAGCUUCGGGGAGCUGUCAACAAG